UAACACAGUAUCAGACAUUUGUGUCCUUUCAACAUUAUCAGGACUAGGGAGCUCCUGCAGGAACAAAGGUCUGUGGCUGGACCCACGGUGGCAAUCAUUUACCUGAUCCCCGUUUCUGGAUUCUGGGUCCAUUACUCCCCUUCGGACGUCUCAGGCCUCACCAUGGUCAACAUCUGGUUUGACACGGAACAUGUGGCCGCUGCAGCCAGUGACAUGUCACCCAUGUAUCAGGUCAUUGGGUGACAAUUGGAGCCAGUCAUUGGUUGCAGCGGCCACAUGGGGUGUGCGGCUCUCCUGAGGUGUCCUUGUACCAUGGGUAGAUCAGAUAUGUGCAUUUCUCCAUGCCUUUCUUCCGCUUCUUGAUAUUUAUGGGUUAACUGUUCCCCUUAUUUUUUGUAUCUCUAGUUAGUUACUUUUUUCUCUCAGCAUUUACUGUAUACUACAUAUUUGAGACCUGCACAUAUAUCAGGACUACUGGUUUACAUUGGUUUAUGAAGGACAAAUUGCUAUUCAUACCAUUUCAUAUGUCCUACUUCCAUAUUGUACCAUACUCACACCUGCUAUUAGUUCGUGGGGUUGCUGCACUUUUUUUUCUUGGGGCAAGUUUCUUUUUUUUUACAAAUUUUUGUGCUAAUAAAAGGAUUAUAUAGUUUUGUACUUUGGGCUACAAUGACUCCCUUGUUUCAUUUGUGUAUUUUGCAGCAGCCACGUGACCUGCGUGACACCAUCCUAAGACUUGUGGCACCAGAGUGGGAGCGAUGGAGCCAGAACACAGCAGCGGGGAUCAGGCAAAGAGGCUUUCCCACUAAUGGUCCAGCCACGCUGGGGGGGGUCUGCAGAAACUGUGAACAGAGGUGAACAACCCAUUAAAAUCUGCCCAUCCCAGUUAUUCAGUCAAUAUUUAUAUCGAGCCCAAGACCAGCUCUAGACCGUGCUCGCGCCAAAUUUACUAUAUGCGAACCUGGCCUGAUGCAAUUUUUAUUCUUCAUUAGUCUAAUAUCUCUGGCUCUCUAAACUGGAGCAGUAUUCCAAUUAGGCUAAAUAGGCUAUAAAUACGUUAUUUUACAGCAGGAUACUUUUUUGGAAUCUGGACCCACUUUCUCCUUCUAAACAGCUCAAGUAGGUAACCUCCUACCAGGUGUGACUUUGCUGUAGGCUUCGGAUAGAACCAGCUGUGACGGUCAAGGCAGAGCAGCUGAAGACCGCGCGGCCAUGAAGGCCACAACUAUUUUCUAUAGAUUGCUUGCCUAUUGGUCGCGCUGUUUUGGGCUAAUGCGACUGAGAAUUGUUAAUGAUCCUUAGGAAAUAGAUGUGGCUUGCAUGUCCACGCAGUUUUCAGCCAGGCCUGGUCUAACCCAUAGCAUAGCUUUGUAAGAAGGAAAAACAGGUUAUUUCCAAAUAUGAAAGCAAAUAUGCAAGGUGUAGAACACUAUAGUGCAGCACACUAAUCUAUAAUGGCAUUUAUAUUAUAGCCAGCUUGUCAAACAUUGGCAAAUACUGAUGAUAAUGGACUUUAUCAGUUCAACAGGAACUGGUGACACCGCCGAGUUACUGAUGCCUGGCAAUCUGAAUUCUGGAGAAGAUUGAUCCAGUUGGAAACUUUGUUCUUCAUGUUCAGUAAAAUGACUGCUCUGACUACAAAAGCAAUGAUUAAAGGAAGUAGCCAUUAAAAUAAAAAAAGUCACCUAUUAUUUAAGUUUUUAGAUUUAAAAAAAAUUUGGGAAAAAACCCAAAAACUAAAAUCGUGCGGUUUACACUGGCCGCUACUCCUAAUAUGUUGAGGCUUCCUGUUCUGUACAAGUACUUUUUUUUUCCAGUAGUGAUCAUAUUUUCAAAUAUAUAUAUAUAUAUAUAUUUUUUAUAUAAACAGGAGCCACUAUUCACAAUAGGUGAUAUCACAGCUUAUCUACCCCCCCCCCCCCCGACCUCUGCACAGGUCACAGAGCAUGCCUAGAAAACUCUCCCAUAGAGGUCAAUGAGGUCUCCUCCUGUUCAUUGUGUCUAUGGCCCACGUGGCUGGUUUGAGGGUCUAGUUAUUGGCAAAUCCCACAGGUCCCAUUCUGCUCCAUACAGACAAAGGGAUCAGUGGUGGAUGCCUGUUGGAAGCAGUUUUCAGUCGUUUCCCGUGGACUCUCUAGGAUUUCCAAAAAACUGCACCAACAGAGUUUUGAAAAUAACUUCAUGGGCCCAAAGGUGAACAAAAACACCACAAACCAAAAAUCAUACUUUGUAUAAUUUUAUACAGUAUUUCACUACUAUUAUUUUUAAAGAAAAAAAACCACACACCUUUAUCUUUUGCCAGUCAGCCAUCCAGUGAUGUCAUCGCAUUUAAAGACAUUGUUAAAUUUGGAUUUCAGGUAAAUCAAAAGGAAAUUUAAAAAGACAAUAAUUCUUACAGUUAGCUACUUGUUUAAUUUUCUAAUAAAACAAUUAGGUGUACAAUAAGACAAUCAUUUAAUAGUCAUAUACAAAAAAAAAAAAAAAACAAAAAAAAAAAAACACCCAUUUGCAAGAAAACAGAUGGUGACAGACAGGUUUGAAGAUACAACACAAUUCUUUUCAAUUCUACAUGUAGAUCUAUCUUUUUUUGGCCAAUGACACUCCUCUGAUAAAAAAAAAAAAAAA